AGUGAACGCUGGCGGUAGGCCUAACACAUGCAAGUCGAACGGCAGCACAGUAAGAGCUUGCUCUUACGGGUGGCGAGUGGCGGACGGGUGAGGAAUACAUCGGACUCUACUUUUUCGUGGGGGAUACCGUAGGGAAACUUACGCUAAUACCGCAAACGACCUACGCGUGAAAGCAGGGGAUCUUCAGACCUUGCUCGAUUCAAUGAGCCGAUGUCGUAUUAGCUAGUUGGCGGGGUAAAGGCCCACCAAGGCGACGAUCCGUAGCUGGUCUGAGAGGAUGAUCAGCCACACUGGAACUGAGACACGGUCCAGACUCCUACGGGAGGCAGCAGUGGGGAAUAUUGGACAAUGGGCGCAAGCCUGAUCCAGCCAUACCGCGUGGGUGAAGAAGGCCUUCGGGUUGUAAAGCUCUUUUGUUGGGAAAGAAAAGCAGCAGGUUAAUACCCCGCUGUUCUGACGGUACCCAAAGAAUAAGCACCGGCUAACUUCGUG
rnacentral:rRNA from 1 species